AGUGAACGCUGGCGGUAGGCCUAACACAUGCCAGUCGAACGGCAGCACAGUAAGAGCUUGCUCUUACGGGUGGCGAGUGGCGGACGGGUGAGGAAUACAUCGGAAUCUACUUUUUCGUGGGGGAUAUCGUAGGGAAACUUACGCUAAUACCGCAUACGACCUACGGGUGAAAGCAGGGGAUCUUCGGACCUUGCACGAUUGAAUGAGCCGGUGUCGGAUUAGCUAGUUGGCGGGGUAAAGGCCAACCAAGGCGACGAUCCGUAGCUGGUCUGAGAGGAUGAUCAGCCACACUGGAACUGAGGCACGGUCCAGACUCCUACGGGAGGCAGCAGUGGGGAAUAUUGGACAAUGGGCGCAAGCCUGAUCCAGCCAUACCGCGUGGGUGAAGAAGGCCUUCGGGUUGUAAAGCCCUUUUGUUGGGAAAGAAAAGCAGCAGGUUAAUACCCCGCUGUUCUGACGGUACCCAAAGAAUAAGCACCGGCUAACUUCGUG
rnacentral:rRNA from 1 species